rnacentral:piRNA from 1 species
UGAUGACCGGAAUGGCCUCAGGA